rnacentral:tRNA from 1 species
GGAAGUAGCUGAGGCGGCUGGACUUCAAAUCCAGUUGGGGCCGCCAGCGGUCCCGGGCAGGUUCGACUCCUGUGAUCUUCCGCCA